GCCCAGGCCUAGCUGGUCCAUCAGGUAAAGUAUACUUAGUGGCUUAGUGGCAGAUUGCUGAGAACUGUUUCCUUUUCUCCUCAGGAAUAAAUAAAUAAAAAAUAUAGAAAAAGUAGUGACAUGUUAAGGAUAUAGAUCAUUGAUAAGCUCAUUAUGUAGAUAAGUCAUGACUAAUUUAGACAGAGAAGUGUAGGAUAUUGCUAAGUAAUUGUAGGGCUCUUAUAUGUUUAUAUUAUUAAACAUUUGUCAUAGAAUGUCCAGCAGUAAUGGUAAGUCUUACAACUGUUCAACAACCUCAUUAAAAUAUAUUUUUUUUAUUUGAAAAACACUGUAAUUGAAGCAAAGGGCCUUCUUAACAAUGUCAUUAUAAAUGACAAUCCAUAAUAAUUGUUGUGAUGAUGAGUGGAUGGCUUAGGAGGUCUGCUGCUCUCUGAAGCUGCCAACAGGCCAGCACCAAGACAGAAGAAAUGAAGUUCACCAGCAGCUGAGCCGGGUUUACUGAUAGGAUCUCCCACCAGGUUUGCUGCAUGGCUGUUCCUCAUUCUCCUCAUCAUCCUCACCCUCUUCCAGACUACUUAAGGUCCGGCCUCACCUCUGCACUUCUUGGGCCACCACGACUCCAGCUCUGUGAGUCUAAGUCAGGGCUCAAUCGCCUACCAGUUCGUCUGUCAGUCCAGUAGCUCCGUGUUCCUGGAAAGUCUUCCUGAACUCUCUUCCCUGCCUUCAGUCCUGGAUUCACUUGCAACUACUGAGCUCCUAGGUAACGACUCCGGGUUCUGUGUGGACAACCGUGCAUCUUCAGCUAUGAGGCUCUAUUGCAAAUAAAUACCUGCUGAACGUUUACUUCUAAGUGUGUGUAUGUGUGUGUUCUGCUCAGGGGUUUGUUUAAACAUAAGACUCAAACUCUGUGCGUUUG